UACGAAGGGGGCUAGCGUUGCUCGGCAUCACUGGGCGUACAGCGCACGUAGGCGGGUCGUUAAGUCAGGGGUGAAAUCCUGGAGCUCAACUCCAGAACUGCCCUUGAUACUGGCGAUCUCGAGUUCGGGAGAGGUGAGUGGAACUGCGAGUGUAGAGGUGAAAUUCGUAGAUAUUAGGAAGAACACCAGUGGCGAAGGCGGCUCACUGGUCCGGUACUGACGCUGAGGUGCGAAAGCGUGGGGAGCAAACAGG
rnacentral:rRNA from 1 species